rnacentral:tRNA from 1 species
UCCCUUGAAGCUCAGUUGGUAAAGAAUCUGCCUAUAAUGCAGGAGACCCGGGUUCGAUUCCUGGGCUGGGAA